ACUUGUACCGACUGGAUGAGCAGCGAACGGGUGAGUAACGCGUGGGGAAUCUGCCUUUGAGCGGGGGACAACAUUUGGAAACGAAUGCUAAUACCGCAUAAAAACUUUAAACACAAGUUUUAAGUUUGAAAGAUGCAAUUGCAUCACUCAAAGAUGAUCCCGCGUUGUAUUAGCUAGUUGGUGAGGUAAAGGCUCACCAAGGCGAUGAUACAUAGCCGACCUGAGAGGGUGAUCGGCCACAUUGGGACUGAGACACGGCCCAAACUCCUACGGGAGGCAGCAGUAGGGAAUCUUCGGCAAUGGACGAAAGUCUGACCGAGCAACGCCGCGUGAGUGAAGAAGGUUUUCGGAUCGUAAAACUCUGUUGGUAGAGAAGAACGUUGGUGAGAGUGGAAAGCUCAUCAAGUGACGGUAACUACCCAGAAAGGGACGGCUAACUACGUGCCAGCAGCCGCGGUAAUACGUAGGUCCCGAGCGUUGUCCGGAUUUAUUGGGCGUAAAGCGAGCGCAGGUGGUUUAUUAAGUCUGGUGUAAAAGGCAGUGGCUCAACCAUUGUAUGCAUUGGAAACUGGUAGACUUGAGUGCAGGAGAGGAGAGUGGAAAUCCAUGGGUAAACGC
rnacentral:rRNA from 1 species